rnacentral:rRNA from 1 species
AUGGCUUGGUUAAGUUGGGACAAGCUGAGAUUGACAAAGUGCAAAGGUGGAAUGGGUUUCAGAGACAUGCGUGCUUUCAACCAGGCACUACUAGCAAAGCAAGCAUGGGGACUUAUCGAAUCACCAGAUAGCUUAUGUGCAUGACUGCUAAAGGUAAAGUAUUUCCCUAAUGGGAGUCUCAUUGAUACUGUAUUUACAGGAAGCUCUUCAGCGGUGUGGAAGGGCAUAGCUCACGGUUUGGAGUUAGUAAAAAAAGGUAUAAUAUGGAGAAUCAGAGAUGGUACACUGGUAAGAACUUGGAGAGACCCUUGGAUUCCUCGGCGGUUUGAUUUUCGACCUAUAACUCCCAAAAGGAACUGUCGGUUUAAUAGGGUCUCUGAUUUUCUGGACAUGAACGGAGCUUGGUUGGUCGACCGGCUCGAGGAGCAUUUUUGGCCAAUGGACGUAGUAGAAAUACUGAAAAUUUGUACAUCUCCAAGAAAUAGGCAGGAUUUUAUCGGUUGGUUUCCAGAGCCGCGUGGAGUUUUUACAAUCAAAUCCGCCUAUAAACUUGCUACCGAAUCACAUGAUGUGGUUCAUGCAGGGGGCGCUAGUAGCACAAGGCCGGAGGGUGAUCGACCAAUCUGGAGUGUGAUUAGGAAAGCGCGGGUACCACUGAAAAUAUUUUUGCUGCUUACAGGUACAUCUUCAAUUGCAAUGAUGCACUGGAAUAAGAGAUUCAUGCCCUCAUGCAAGGAAUGGCACUGGCCAUUAAGCACUCGGAUAAACCAGUGA